AACGAACGCUGGCGGCAGGCCUAACACAUGCAAGUCGAGCGAACCCUUCGGGGUUAGCGGCGGACGGGUUAGUAACGCGUGGGAAUAUACCCUUUGGUACGGAAUAGCCUCGGGAAACUGAGAGUAAUACCGUAUGUGCCCUUCGGGGGAAAGAUUUAUCGCCAAAGGAUUAGCCCGCGUUGGAUUAGAUAGUUGGUGGGGUAAUGGCCUACCAAGUCUACGAUCCAUAGCUGGUUUGAGAGGAUGAUCAGCAACACUGGGACUGAGACACGGCCCAGACUCCUACGGGAGGCAGCAGUGGGGAAUCUUAGACAAUGGGCGCAAGCCUGAUCUAGCCAUGCCGCGUGGACGAUGAAGGCCUUAGGGUUGUAAAGUCCUUUCAGAUGGGAAGAUAAUGACGGUACCAUCAGAAGAAGCCCCGGNUAACUCCGUGCCAGCAGCCGCGGUAAAGUAGUCGUG
rnacentral:rRNA from 1 species